rnacentral:rRNA from 1 species
GUUUACAACUCCCAAACCCCUGUGAACAUACCUAUCGUUGCCUCGGCGGUGCCCGCUCCGGCGGCCCGCCAGAGGACCCCAAACUCUUGUUUUAUACAGUAUCUUCUGAGUAACACGAUUAAAUAAAUCAAAACUUUCAACAACGGAUCUCUUGGUUCUGGCAUCGAUGAAGAACGCAGCGAAAUGCGAUAAGUAAUGUGAAUUGCAGAAUUCAGUGAAUCAUCGAAUCUUUGAACGCACAUUGCGCCCGCCAGUAUUCUGGCGGGCAUGCCUGUUCGAGCGUCAUUUCAACCCUCAAGCCCCCGGGCUUGGUGUUGGGGAUCGGCGUGCCCUCGCGGCGCGCCGUCCCCGAAAUCUAGUGGCGGUCUCGCUGUAGCUUCCUCUGCGUAGUAGCACACCUCGCACUGGAAAGCAGCGCGGCCACGCCGUUAAACCCCCCACUUCUGUAAAGGUUGACCUCGGAUCAGGUCAGGAAACCCG